GUACGAACGCUGGCGGCGUGCUUAACACAUGCAAGUCGAACGGAAUCCAAUGUGUAGCAAUACACAGGAAGAUUUAGUGGCGAACGGGUGAGGAACACGUGAGAAACCUGCCCCGAACUCCGGGAUAACAGUUGGAAACGACUGCUAAUACCGGAUGCCGUCGAGGAGUCGCAUGGCUCUUUGACGAAAGAACCUUGGUUCGGGAGGGUCUCGCGACCAAUCAGCUUGUUGGCGGGGUAAUGGCCCACCAAGGCUACGACGGGUAGCUGGUCUGAGAGGAUGAUCAGCCACACUGGGACUGAGACACGGCCCAGACUCCUACGGGAGGCAGCAGUGGGGAAUCUUGCGCAAUGGGCGAAAGCCUGACGCAGCAACGCCGCGUGCGGGAAGAAGGCCUUCGGGUUGUAAACCGCUUUCAGCAGGAACGAAAAUGACGGUACCUGCAGAAGAAGGUGCGGCCAACUAUGUGCCAGCAGCCGCGGUGAUACAUAGGCACCAAGCGUUGUCCGGAUUUAUUGGGCGUAAAGAGCUCGUAGGCGGUUCAGUCAGUCGGGUGUGAAAACUCUGGGCUUAACCCAGAGCCUGCACCCGAUACUGCUGUGACUAGAGUUCGGUAGGGGAGCGGGGAAUUCCUGGUGUAGCGGUGAAAUGCGCAGAUAUCAGGAGGAACACCGAUGGCGAAGGCACCCGUCUUGGGCCCGAACUGACGCUGAGGAGCGAAAGCAUGGGUAGCAACAGGAUUAGAUACCCUGGUAGUCCAUGCCGUAACGUUGGGCACUAGUGUGGGGUUCCAUCAACG
rnacentral:rRNA from 1 species